AACCAAAGUGUUGAGCCUAGUUCUGGGCUGCUUCCCUGUUCUGGUAAUUAAACUUUGGGGCAUUAAGGACACAGGCUAGGAGAGAAGAUUGGGUAGAAGAUAUUUCUCUAUUCAUUUCCCUCCUGGCCUAUCAAG